rnacentral:rRNA from 1 species
CAGCCGUAAACUAUGCGCGUUAGGUGUGCUGGUGACCACGUGUCACCGGGGUGCCGAAGGGGAACCGUGAAACGUGCCGCCUGGGAAGUACGGUCGCAAGGCUGAAACUUAAAGGAAUUGGCGGGGGGAGCACCACAACGGGUGGAGCCUGCGGUUUAAUUGGACUCAACGCCGGAAAUCUCACCGGAUAGGACAGGCAAAUGAUAGUCGGGCUGAAGACUCUACUUGAUGAUCUGAGAGGUGGUGCAUGGCGUCAGUGACU